rnacentral:ncRNA from 1 species
UUGCAGGUGAAAGUCCUGUGCUAACAAUUAACCAGUUCGGUUAGGUGGUUAUGCAUGUGUAUGCGAAGUAAUCCAAGUACAGAAGCAAUGCAAUGUAUUCCCAGUGGGAUGGAUUUAUUAAUCUUACCUUAAUCAGUGGUAGAGAAUAAACCUGCCGUAACGAAA